GACGAACGCUGGCGGCGUGCUUAACACAUGCAAGUCGAGCGGUAAGGCCCUUUCGGGGGUACACGAGCGGCGAACGGGUGAGUAACACGCGGGUGACCUGCCUUUAGCUCUGGGAUAAGCCUGGGAAACUGGGUCUAAUACCGGAUAUGACUCCGCGGUGCAUGCUGUGGGGUGAAAGCCUUGUGCGGCUGGAGAUGGGCCCGCGGCCUAUCAGCUUGUUGGUGGGGUGAUGGCCUACCAAGGCGACGACGGGUAGCCGGCCUGAGAGGGCGACCGGCCACACUGGGACUGAGACACGGCCCAGACUCCUACGGGAGGCAGCAGUGGGGAAUCUUGCGCAAUGGGCGAAAGCCUGACGCAGCGACGCCGCGUGAGGGAUGAC
rnacentral:rRNA from 1 species